AAAAUAAAUUUAGUUUUAAAGAAUACCCAUCUCUCUCUCUUAAUCUCUCUCCUUGCAAUUCUCUUAUAUAUAACAUGACCUUACGACUCCAACAACAACAACAACCACUCUUUCAACAGCAACAAAAACAAGUUCAUGUUGUUGGUGCUAGUAGUGCUGAGUUCAACUCUGGUUCACCCCUAAAAUCUCUUCCUUCCUCGCCUCAACAUUCACACCUUUCUUCUAUACCUGUGGAAUUAGAAGAACCUUAUCCUCUAUCUUUAGGUUGCCAAAGGUUUUUUUGGAUCUCAAGAGUGGUGAGAUCUACUAUAAGAAGGAAGGACACGAAAAGCGUUUACUAAACAGAGAAAGUAGAAGAAUGAGUCGACACGGAAAGGGUCCAAGGUUAGAUUUGAAACUCAACUUAUCACCACCUAGGGUGAACAAUAUAACUAACCCAAGACAAGUUGAAUCACCAAAUCAUAAUCGUCGGUCAGGUAAUUCAUCACCAACUUCACCACCAAGUUCAUGCGUUUCAUCAGAGAACGGUAAUGAUGAUACUCUUCAAUAUUCAAGCAGUCCUGAAGCUACUUCAAUGGUUUUAGUUGGUUGUCCUCGUUGUCUUAUGUAUGUCAUGUUAUCUGAAGAAGAUCCAAAAUGUCCCAAAUGCAAAAGCACUGUUUUGCUUGAUUUCCUCCAUGAUAACACCACCAAGAAAACAAGAAACUUCAACAACAACAACAACUAAGUUUAGGUAUUUAGCUUAAAAAACCAUGCUGACAUCCAUGCAUGGUUCCUAGAUAGUAGUUGAUUUGACUACUAUCGUUCCUUCUUCCUCUUCUUCUUCUCUCUCUCUCUCUCUAUUUCUACUCUGUUAUUAGGUUCUACUCUUGUCUUUUUUGGGUCUUGGAGAGGUUGCUACUUCUUUUAUGUUUUAUUUUUUUCUUUUCUCUUCUAAUUAAGUUCCUAUGAUAGAAUAUCAGCAAUAUCAGUAUAGAUAGUGGGUCUUUUUUUUUUUUUCUUUUGAUCAGAUUAUAGUUUCUAAGUCUUAAGAGUCUGUUUCUCUGUUUUCUACUCCUCUUUAGCUGUAAACAUUUGUAGAAUGAAACUGACUUAAACUGCCUAAAUUUUCUGAUCAAA